GUUAUGUAUACAAUUUUUACAUGUAUCUUUAUUCUUUAAUACAUGUAUAUUAGAUUGUUUUUUUUUAAUCUCUAUUCUUUACAUAAAUUUCAUUUCAGCACUUAUUCUCUAAUAUUUAUUUAGUUUUAGUUUUCCUUCUUUUCCCUAUUUAUUACUUUUUUUUCCUUUAUUCUGUACAUUUUGCCUGUUAUUCUCUAUUUUGUAAACCUCAUCUAAACUCUCAUCCAGGUCAAAUACAAUAUACUUUCAAGUGGCAUACUUGUAUGCAAAAUUCUUGAAUUUUAAAUUGUAGGCAAUUAUCAACUCGUGAAAUUCAGAAACUUAAUUCUUAAUACUUUGCAUUUAAGAUCAUUUAAGGUGGUACCCAACACUUUUACUAAAAAUUAUUUAGCUCGUUUAAUUUUC
rnacentral:lncRNA from 1 species